rnacentral:rRNA from 1 species
UACGAAGGGUGCAAGCGUUGUUCGGAAUUAUUGGGCGUAAAGCGCACGUAGGCGGCCUUGUAAGUCUCACUGUGAAAGUCCGGGGCUCAACCCCGGGAUGCCAGGGGAUACUGCGAGGCUUGAGACAAGUAGAGGUUGGUAGAAUUCCGGGUGUAGCGGUGGAAUGCGUAGAGAUCCGGAGGAAUACCAGAGGCGAAGGCGGCCAACUGGGCUUGUUCUGACGCUGAGGUGCGAAAGCGUGGGGAGCGAACAGG